CUCGGAUACUUUGACUAGCCUUUCCUAUUGCUGGUCCCAUUUAAGAACAAUUACCUGCUUUGCAAGAGACCAAAAUACUCUUUAGUAUAUAAAUUUAAUAUUAUUUUAAAAGCAAAUUGCAUUCUUAAAAAAAAAUGUUCAGAAAACAAACAUUUCAUGUUAUGACUAAGCAUUCACAUUGAAAUUGCAUUCAUUCAAACCAUCAAUUUAGGGACAUCAAGGGACAUAUAUCCAAGUUAGGGACAAUGAGGUACACAUAGUCAAUUUUGGGACAUUGAGGGACAUAUAAUCAAUUUAGGGACAACGAUGGACAUCUAUACUAUUUCGCAUCUAUAGCGCCAAGUAUCAUUUACACUUACAUUUGAAGUAAUUAAUAAGCUUUCACAUUGAAGUUCCAUUCAGACCAUCAAUUUAGGGACAUCAAACGACAUAUACUAAAUUUCGCAUCAGAGGCACCAAGGCACACACACAACCCUCUUCACAAUAUAUACCAUAGUAAGAAAAUUGUUAUUAAGUACCAACUUGCAUUUUGAAUAAACAUUCAUAUUUCAAAUUGCAUUUAAGACCAUAAAAAAUUUCAUGUAUACCAUCCUGAUUCCAUAUGAAUAAAAAUUUCAUAUUGUAAGCCACAUAUUUGGUAAAAAAAAUCAUCUCAUUAACUCCUCCAAACACAGCAUCUCAAGACUUGUCUGAGGAAUUCUUUUAGCAACUAAAUAAUUUCUUAGGGUCCAAAUUAACCUUCUUAGGCAUGAAAAAUCAAGAUUCACCGAUUUAGCACACUCUUGGAUAACCAAUGCUGACAAAAACUACCCAAAACAACAUUUCGGUCAAACAAUAAUUUGGAGAAUCUGUAUUACUUCACGAAAGACAAAAUUGAGUCAAAUCAAUUAGAAAAAAAUCCAUAAGAUAAAGGAUAAAAAUUGAAAACACUGAUAUAGAAGUGAUAAAAAUCACUAGAAAUCAAAUAGAUACAAGCGAAGCUUAAAAUUCUUUUCUAUUUCUACAUUAAUAGCCAACAAUUAGGGGUUAUAAAGCUCAAAUAUCGAAUUUUGCAUUUGAAGUCAUCAAGUGACAUUUACUCAAUUUCACAUCUAAGGUAACCCCCAAAAGAAAACUGCUAUCAUGCCAAUUUAUCAUUAUUAAAAAAGCAGUAUAGAGUCACUGUAUGAAGGGUCGUCUCGACAGGCAUAUCAAUUUAUGAAUAAAAAUUCAUAAUGAAAUUGCAUUUAGGCCAAAAAUUUAAGGUCAUUAAGGGACAUAUAUUCAAUUUUUGCAUCUAAGGUCAGACAGACACUAAACCAUUAUGAAAAAGCAUUGUAUAGUCAUCGCACCGCGUCAAGGGUAUCUCCACUUGUAUUUCAAGUUAUGACUAAGCAUUCACAUUGAAAUUCCAUUCAUUCAGACCAUCAAUUUAGGGACAUCGUGGGACAUAUAUUCAAGUUAGGGACAACUAGGGACAUCUAUUCAANNNNNNNNNNNNNNNNNNNNNNNNNNNNNNNNNNNNNNNNNNNNNNNNNNNNNNNNNNNNNNNUGGCGGCCACGGGUCCUCUCCACUUCCAUUACAUUUGAAGUAUUGAAUAAGCAUUGACAUAUGAAAUUCCAUUCAAGCCAUCAAUUUAAGGACAUCGAGGGACAGAUACUCAAUUUAGGAACAUUGAGGGACAUCGUGGGACAUAUAGUCAAUUUCGGGACAUUUCGGAACAGAUACUCAACCAUCUUCCAAAUCUACCGUAAUAAGAAAAUCGUUAUCAAGUCUCAACUUGAAUUUCGAAUAAAUCCAAUAUAUAUUCAUAUUUCAAAUUGAAGUUACAUUUGAAGUUAUGAAUAAACAUUCACAUUGAAAUUCCAUUCAGGCUAUCAAUUUAAGGACAUCGAAGAACCAAUACUCAAUUUGGAGACAUCGAGAGGCAAAUAUUCAAUUUCGGGACAUCUAGGGACAUCUAUUCAUUUUAGACACAUCAAUGGACAUAUAUACUAUUUCACAUCUAUGGCGCCACGGGUCCUCUCCACUUGCAUUUGAAUUUAUGA
rnacentral:lncRNA from 1 species